GCCAGGCGCGGUGGCACAUGCCUGUAGUCCCAGCUACUCGGGAGGCUGAGGUGGGAGGAUCGCUUGAGUCCAGAAGUCCUGGGCUGUAGUGUGCUAUGUCAUCAGGUGUCCACACUAAGUUCGGCAUCAAUAUGGUGACCUCCCAGGAGCAGGGAACCACCAGGUUGCCUAAGGAGGGGUGAACCGGCCCAGGUAAGAAACGGAGCAGGUGAAAACUCCUGUGCUGAUCAGUAGUGGGAUCGCGCCUGUGAAUAGCCACUGCACUGCAGCCUGGACAAUAUAGGAGACCCGGUCUCU
rnacentral:SRP_RNA from 1 species